CAAGUGACCCCGGUCUAACCACCGGGAUGUUCAUAACCCUUUGUCCGACUCUGUUGCCUCCGGGGCGACCCUGCCUUCGGGCGGGGGCUCCGGGUGGACACUUCAAACUCUUGCGUAACUUUGCAGUCUGAGUAAACUUAAUUAAUAAAAUU
rnacentral:misc_RNA from 1 species